rnacentral:rRNA from 1 species
AUUGAACGCUGGCGGAAUGCUUUACACAUGCGAGUCGAACGGCAGCACGGACUUCGGUCUGGUGGCGAGUGGCGAACGGGUGAGUAAUGUAUCGGAACGUGCCCAGUCGUGGGGGAUAACGUAGUGAAAAUUACGCUAAUACCGCAUACGAUCUAUGGAUGAAAGCGGGGGAUCGCAAGACCUCGCGCGAUUGGAGCGGCCGAUAUCAGAUUAGGUAGUUGGUGGGGUAGAGGCCCACCAAGCCAACGAUCUGUAGCUGGUCUGAGAGGACGACGAGCCACACUGGAACUGAGACACGGUCCAGACUCCUACGGGAGGCAGCAGUGGGGAAUUUUGGACAAUGGGCGAAAGCCUGAUCCAGCCAUUCCGCGUGCAGGAUGAAGGCCCUCGGGUUGUAAACUGCUUUUGUACAGAACGAAAAGGUUUCUACUAAUACUAGGAGCUCAUGACGGUACUGUAAGAAUAAGCACCGGCUAACUACGUGCCAGCCGCCGCUGUAA